CAUUCAUAAAUCCUACAGUUUCAUUUAUUUACGUAUAAAAUUAGUUUUAUAUGAGCAUUAUUCGCUGUGAGUGUUCACGCACGUCGCGACAUCUACCGGCACAGACAUGUAAAUAAAGGUGGGAAAUAAUGUAUUGGCGUAUAUGUAUUUCGAAAUAAAUCUACAAAAGCUAACUGUAAAACAACAAUUUUCAUGAAAACUUAUAAUCCACACUAGUAAUAUACUUCCACCUACUAAAUUCUUGCAAGAUAUAGUAAGUGAACAUUUUGAGAAGAAUAUAAUCUACGAGUGAUCUGUGGUAUUGGAGGUUAGACAAUACAGCUGUAAGACAUCAAGAAAGAUAUCGCGAAAGACAUCGGUAUCACUGAAUAUUGUUUGAUUGAAAUAGACUUGGCUUUGGUUUUUUACUUCUCUUAUCGGAUUUUAAUUCUUGAUGAUAUACUUAAUGAAAGUCUGCGUUUUAUGCAUCGAGAAUGCCUACAACAAAAUGUAAACAAAGCGCUUUGAACUGAUGCUACGGAGUUGUACAGCAGACGAUACAAAAGAGGGUUAUGCGUACUUAUUUUAUUUUUCUUACUGAUGCGAUCUAUUUCUUUCACUGAUCUAACUUUAAAACAGCAGCAGAAAAUUUAUAGAAUUUACAGCUACUGUUAUACUCAUUAUUUUUAGAAUUUUCAACACAGCAGCUAUGGUGACCCACUUUUUAAUUUAAAUAAUACGCAACUUAUAGCUGAAAUCUCCACCCAAGGUUCCGUUUUCUCUCACCAUCAGCGCUUUCGUGCACUCAAUCUAUCCCCUCCAAAGAUACUCUCAUGGCGAAUAUGUUGUGACGGGCAGCGUCAAACAUAUAGCAUCAGUUUUGUUCCGGAAACCCCUGUCAUAAUAUAUAGAAGAAAAUCUUAUUUUUAAAUAAAUAAAUUAAUGAAUAUUAUUAAUUAUUUCGACGAUUAUAUUAUUAUUUCUUAAAUGUAAUUGACUAGAAUUACUUUAGAUUAAUACCCGUUAUGAGCGCAUGCGCAUAGAAAAAAUCAAUAGUGUGCAGUCAUGGCUAUAAUGGUCGCAGCAUCUGUCACAGAAGCACAUGUUGUAGUACAUGUAUAAGACGUUUAACUGAAUGUAAAUGCUAAAAAUAAAUUCUAUGUGAGUUUCUACAAAAGAAUUCUAUUAUACGGAUAUUUUGUUUCGUUGUCGUCCAUCGUUCUUUAACAACAGAACCAAAAGGACUAUAAUAUUCUCUGCAAGGCUUGCAAUUUAAAUAAAGCACUAAAAGUAGUCGCUGUUACUUCUGUGGGCAGUAUCUACACUAAUUGCUUUCAAUAAACUAAGAGUAAGAUUUGGUCAUUUAAGAGAUAAUUUCUAUUGAGAAUAUGUGAAUUUAUCGAAUCAGUGCCUUUUUGUUUAUUACUGUUAUAAUUACUGUUUGUAUAUUUUGUGUAUGACAAUAAACGAUUAAUAUUUAAUUUUGAGAAAACCAUUCAUUUUACUCAUACAACUCAAUAUAAACUUAUCAACUACAAAUAAACUUUUUAACUACUAUAAAAUGACCAACUGUAAAUAAACUUAUAAACUGAAAAUAAACCAACAACUACAAAAACUUACAAACUAAAAAUUAACUUGCAACUGCAAAAGCUUAUAAACUUACAACAUAAAUUAAUGUACAGUAUAUUUAUGAAUUGCAGAAUCUUAUAGUAUUUAUAAUAAAGCUACAAGAAUAUAUCUUUAUAACAUCACUAAUUUAUUGUUAACCUAAUAUACUAUAUUAUACUAUCUAUCAAUAGCAUUACAGCUUAGAAUUAAAUUUUGAUUUAUUUUACACGUACAUUUCCAAGUAGACUAUUAUAGAUAACAAUCUUAUAAGUUUAUUUGCCUAAAUAUAAAUAUCGAUCUAUUACAUCUUUUCACACAAUAACAAAAAUAAUGCCUCGCCGACGAAUUAUUCGUACACAGGAAGAGGAAGAAAUAUAUCAACAAAAUAGGCGAGAAAGAAUAGCUGAAAACCAAAGGCGAAGACGACAAGCUACGCGCAAUUCUUUGAUUGAUGAAGCAAGAAAUCUACCUGUAGAUCACAAUUCUUUAGGUGCCACGAAUAUUCACACAACUACAACAACAAUGGUUCCGCAACAAAUCAUUCGUACUGAAGAAGCAGAAAUACAACAACAAAAUAGGCGAGAAAGAAUAGCUGAAAACCAAAGGCAAAGACGACAAGCUGCACGUAAUGCUAUUAUUGAUGUAUCAAGAAAUCUACCCGUAGAUCAGGAUUAUUUAGGUUCAAUGGAUAUUUUAUGUACACAUUGUAAGGCAAAACAUUUUGUUGGAGAAAAAGUUUCAAAUAAAGGCUUCUCUUUUCAAGACUGCUGUA